GAUGAACGCUGGCGGCGUGCCUAAUACAUGCAAGUCGAGCGAACAGACGAGGAGCUUGCUCCUUUGACGUUAGCGGCGGACGGGUGAGUAACACGUGGGUAACCUACCUAAAAGACUGGGAUAACUUCGGGAAACCGGAGCUAAUACCGGAUAAUAUUUCGAACCGCAUGGUUCGAUAGUGAAAGAUGGCUUUGCUAUCACUUAUAGAUGGACCUGCGCCGUAUUAGCUAGUUGGUAAGGUAACGGCUUACCAAGGCAACGAUACGUAGCCGACCUGAGAGGGUGAUCGGCCACACUGGAACUGAGACACGGUCCAGACUCCUACGGGAGGCAGCAGUAGGGAAUCUUCCGCAAUGGGCGAAAGCCUGACGGAGCAACGCCGCGUGAGUGAUGAAGGUCUUCGGAUCGUAAAACUCUGUUAUUAGGGAAGAACAAACGUGUAAGUAACUGUGCACGUCUUGACGGUACCUAAUCAGAAAGCCACGGCUAACUACGUG
rnacentral:rRNA from 1 species